CCUACGGGAGGCUGCAGUCGAGAAUCAUUCACAAUGGGGGAAACCCUGAUGGUGCGACGCCGCGUGGGGGAAUGAAGGUCUUCGGAUUGUAAACCCCUGUCAUGUGGGAGCAAAUUAAAAAGAUAGUACCACAAGAGGAAGAGACGGCUAACUCUGUGCCAGCAGCCGCGGUAAUACAGAGGUCUCAAGCGUUGUUCGGAAUCACUGUGCGUAAAGCGUGCGUAGGCUGUUUCGUAAGUCGUGUGUGAAAGGCGCGGUCGCAACCCGCGGACGGCACAUGAUACUGGGAGACUAGAGUAAUGGAGGGGGAACCGGAAUUCCCGGUGUAGCAGUGAAAUGCGUAGAUAUCGGGAGGAACACUCGUGGCGAAGGCGGGUUCCUGGACAUUAACUGACGCUGAGGCACGAAGGCCAGGGGAGCGAACGGGAUUAGAUACCCCGGUAGUC
rnacentral:rRNA from 1 species